UAAGCCGUUGAAGGUGUCCUGUGAGGGGUGCUGGAGGUAUCAGAAGUGCGAAUGCUGACAUAAGUAACGAUAAAGCGGGUGAAAAGCCCGCUCGCCGGAAGACCAAGGGUUCCUGUCCAACGUUAAUCGGGGCAGGGUGAGUCGACCCCUAAGGCGAGGCCGAAAGGCGUAGUCGAUGGGAAACGGGUUAAUAUUCCCGUACUUGGUGUUACUGCGAAGGGGGGACGGAGAAGGCUAUGUUGGCCGGGCGACGGUUGUCCCGGUUUAAGCGUGUAGGUGUGUGUUCCAGGUAAAUCCGGUUCACUUUAACACUGAGGCGUGAUGACGAGGCACCACGGUGCUGAAGCAACAAAUGCCCUGCUUCCAGGAAAAGCCUCUAAGCAUCAGGUAACAUCAAAUCGUACCCCAAACCGACACAGGUGGUCAGGUAGAGAAUACCAAGGCGCUUGAGAGAACUCGGGUGAAGGAACUAGGCAAAAUGGUGCCGUAACUUCGGGAGAAGGCACGCUGACACGUAGGUGAAGUGAUUUACUCAUGGAGCUGAAGUCAGUCGAAGAUACCAGCUGGCUGCAACUGUUUAUUAAAAACACAGCACUGUGCAAACACGAAAGUGGACGUAUACGGUGUGACGCCUGCCCGGUGCCGGAAGGUUAAUUGAUGGGGUCAGCGCAAGCGAAGCUCCUGAUCGAAGCCCCGGUAAACGGCGGCCGUAACUAUAACGGUCCUAAGGUAGCGAAAUUCCUUGUCGGGUAAGUUCCGACCUGCACGAAUGGCGUAAUGAUGGCCAGGCUGUCUCCACCCGAGACUCAGUGAAAUUGAACUCGCUGUGAAGAUGCAGUGUACCCGCGGCAAGACGGAAAGACCCCGUGAACCUUUACUAUAGCUUGACACUGAACAUUGAGCCUUGAUGUGUAGGAUAGGUGGGAGGCUUUGAAGCGUGGACGCCAGUCUGCGUGGAGCCGACCUUGAAAUACCACCCUUUAAUGUUUGAUGUUCUAACGUGGACCCGUAAUCCGGGUUGCGGACAGUGUCUGGUGGGUAGUUUGACUGGGGCGGUCUCCUCCUAAAGAGUAACGGAGGAGCACGAAGGUUGGCUAAUCCUGGUCGGACAUCAGGAGGUUAGUGCAAUGGCAUAAGCCAGCUUGACUGCGAGCGUGACGGCGCGAGCAGGUGCGAAAGCAGGUCAUAGUGAUCCGGUGGUUCUGAAUGGAAGGGCCAUCGCUCAACGGAUAAAAGGUACUCCGGGGAUAACAGGCUGAUACCGCCCAAGAGUUCAUAUCGACGGCGGUGUUUGGCACCUCGAUGUCGGCUCAUCACAUCCUGGGGCUGAAGUAGGUCCCAAGGGUAUGGCUGUUCGCCAUUUAAAGUGGUACGCGAGCUGGGUUUAGAACGUCGUGAGACAGUUCGGUCCCUAUCUGCCGUGGGCGCUGGAAGACUGAGGGGGGCUGCUCCUAGUACGAGAGGACCGGAGUGGACGCAUCACUGGUGUUCGGGUUGUCAUGCCAAUGGCACUGCCCGGUAGCUAAAUGCGGAAAAGAUAAGUGCUGAAAGCAUCUAAGCACGAAACUUGCCCCGAGAUGAGUCUUCCCUGAGACCUUGAGUCUCCUGAAGGAACGUUAAAGACGAUGACGUUGAUAGGCCGGGUGUGUA
rnacentral:rRNA from 1 species